GAUGAACGCUGGCGGUAUGCCUAAUACAUGCAAGUCGUGCGGAAAGGCCUCUUCGGAGGUACUCGAGCGGCGGACGGCAGAGUAACGCGUAGGAACAUACCCCAAACUGAGGGAUAACUGCUCGAAAGAGUAGCUAAUACCGCAUGUGGUCUUCGGACUAAAGCUUCGGCGGUUUGGGAAUGGCCUGCGUUCGAUUAGCUAGUUGGUGAGGUAAAUGCUCACCAAGGCGACGAUCGAUAGCUGGUCUGAGAGGAUGAUCAGCCUGACUGGAACUGAGACACGGUCCAGACUCCUACGGGUGGCAG
rnacentral:rRNA from 1 species